rnacentral:misc_RNA from 1 species
AUCCAGACCGACCCGCGGACACGUUUCACUACCCGGGACGGCCGAAACUGCCCGGCAGCUCGGCCUCCCCGAGCGUCGGGACGGAGCCACGCUCCUCGUCCCGGYGCAACAACAACAAACCCCGGCGCGGAAUGCGCCAAGGAAGCAAYAACCGUACAGCGCGCCCCGUCGGCCCGGCAACGGUGCCCGCACGGGGGACGUCGCAACACUCGAGUCCAAAACGACUCUCGGCAACGGAUAUCUCGGCUCUUGCAUCGAUGAAGAACGUAGCGAAAUGCGAUACUUGGUGUGAAUUGCAGAAUCCCGUGAACCAUCGAGUCUUUGAACGCAAGUUGCGCCCGAAGCCCGGUAACGGCCAAGGGCACGCCUGCCUGGGUGUCACCAAUCGCCGCCCCAGCCCCCGUGCCUCUGGCAACGGAGCGGGGCGAAUGCUGGCUUCCCGUGAGCACCGCCUCGCGGUUGGCUGAAAAUCGGGUUCGUGGCGGACGCAGUGCCAUGACAGACGGUGGCUGAGCAAGUUCUCGAGGCCAGUCGUGCGCGCGUGCGACCUCCCUACCCAGCAGUGACCCGCGGGCGACGKCGAUCGCCCAUGA